ensembl:lncRNA
CCUUCACCAGCACACCUGCUUGAGGGGCCGCAGAACUCCAAAGUUCAUCAAUACUAUGUGAAUCACUGCUGGAGACUGACAUUAGAAAUCCAUCUUCAUGCUGGCCUGGUUCCUCAUCUCCUACAUCACUAAAUUACAACUUAAAUCCAAAUAUCUCCCAAAUGUUUUGAUACAAGACCUAAAAAACCCCCAUUUCUCAGCUCCCUGAAGACUUCAUAGACCAUAUGCUUCUCAAAGGAGAAGUUAUGCUGUUUCACUUCUUUCUAAUGACUGUUGGCCAAUGGGAAAAUGUAUAACUGAACAACUUAGGUUAUGUCCGCUUGGAGAAGUUGAAGAUUUCGUUAGAUGCUGGACAACAAUAUUCACAUCCAAAGCACUCAAUUUCCAUGCUGCAUCAGGCUUAGUCUCAGUCUCCCCAGAACACAGUGAAAAGACGUGACAGUAGCUUUCUGUGUAGAAAUAUAUUUGGCAAAUAUAUAAACCCUGCAGAGCAUCCCUUGAGAGGCUAAAGGAAUUUAAACUUAAGUCCCAUGCAGAUCUCCUCUAAGGUGUUAUUUUCCCCCCUAAAUACCAUGUUGAAAUUCUACUUUUACCAAGUUUAAAACUGGAAGCUACAUUAUGUUUGCAGAACUGGAAAUCUCAGUGAAUAAAUAAAUCUUGAGAAGCACAGCUACAGGGAAACAGGCACAGACCUUGCACCAUUCACAGCUUUAAAAAAAGUGUUGGAGCUUAGUAAAGCCAGCAUCACACACACAGCAAAUUAGAAGGAGGGCACGCUCUCCUCAUGAACUUGGGGAAAACCCACACAUUUCAAAAGCACAUAAUUCAGCUGUAAAAUGUUAACAACUGUUUUCCAGACUUCGCUUUGGUAUACAAAAUUCAGCCCAGAAACUCUUCCAUUUCACAAAGUAUGGUUCAAAUUAAGGGGAAAAAACAACCCUUUACAUAUCUUUGCAGUGUUUUUUUUUUUUCCACAACACCAGAGUUCUGUCAAAGUGGGAAUCUUCAUAAAAACAACUAUUCAUAUUCUAUGGUUUAUUUAUGCAAAUUGGAUGGGCAAUGUUAAUUAAAUGAACACUUAGAUCUGUGUAGACCUUUUUACCAGUAGGUUUCAAGAAGAUAAAGUAUGAGAACCUUACUUUGGAACCAAAGAAAUGAAGAUCUGGAUAGGUUGGAUAGCUGGGCUGAAGCCAAUGGGAUGGGAUUCAACAAGACCAAAUGCCGGGUCCUGCACUUUGUCCACAAUAACCCCAGGCAAUGCUACAGGCUUGGGGCAGAGUGGCUGGAAGACUGUGUAGAGGAAAUGGACCUGGGGGUGUUGAUUGACACUAGACUGAACAUGAGCCAGCAGUGUGCCCAGGUGGCCAAGAAGGCCAAUGGCAUCCUGGCUUGUAUCAGAAAUAGUGUGGCCAGCAGGAACAGGGAAGUAAUUAUCCCCCUGUACUCAGCACUGGUGAAGCCACACCUUGAGUACUGUGUCCAGUUUUGGGCCCCUCACUGUAAGAAAGACAUCGAGGCCCUGGAGCGUGUCCAGAGGAGGGCAACAAAGCUGGUGAGGGGUCUGGAGCACAGGCCUUAUGAAGAGCGGCUGAAGGAGCUGGGAUUGUUCAGUUUAGAGAAGAGGAGGCUCAGAGGAGACCUUAUUGCUCUCUAUAACUACCUGAAGGGAGUUUGUAGUGAGCUGGGGGUCGGCCUCUUCUCUCAGGUGACUAGUGAUAGGACUAGAGGGAAUGGCUUCAAGCUGCACCAGGGAAGAUUCAGGCUGGACGUUAGGAAAUACUACUUCUCUGAAAGGGUGGUCAGGCACUGGAAUGGGCUGCCCAGAGAGGUGGUGGAGUCACCGAACCUGGUGGUGUUCAAAGAGCGUUUGGAUGUUGUGUUGAGGGACAUGGUUUAGCGAGAACCAUUGGUGAUGGGCGAAUGGUUGGACUGGAUGAUCCUGUGGGUCUUUUCCAACCUUAGCGAUUCUAUGAUUCUAUAAGAAACAUUGUAAGUGACGUAUGAGCUGAUCUACCAGACUAGGAACCAAGCCAGGAGAAAGGCAAACGAAGGGAUGGAUGCAUGCAAUAAAAGCCUUCAAAUGAUGCCAGGCUGGAUUUUUUUCCUGUGACAGACAAUUAUUGUACAGUUAUGGUCUUCUAAUUAACCAGUUAAAGUACAGUUUCUGCAAUUGUCCUACAUAUGUAGGUACCUGGAUAUUAAGCCUAUAGUUUCAUGAAGUACAGAAAUUCAGUUCCCUCUGAUCCCCCUGAGAAGAAAACAGAGAACAAAACCAACCACCAUUUACCUUCCCCUGAACACCUCUGCUGGUAACAGCUUUGUAAAAUAUUCCUGUGCAAUAUCUACUGAGCAUUAGCAUUGUGCACUUCAUACAGUGAUGCAUCACUGUCCUUUGCUGCAAUUUUAGUUAAUUACCCCAUGAAAAACUUAAAAGAUUUAAGCUCAUAAAAAGUAGUAAGUAAUACAUAUCAGUAGUUUGAUUUCUUGCUACAACACAAAGUUGGAAGUUCAGCCUUCAGUAACCUCUGAGCUAUUCCUUAUCCCCACAGCUUCUGUGACAGUACUACAGGAACGUCUAUCUGUACACAGCAUACAAUAUUACCCUUUAUGAAGGCAGCACUGGAACGGAGAUAUAUAAUUAAUUACAUUCAAUUUAGCACCAUGGAUUUAAGGAUUUGCCUUCCAUUAGCAAACAGAGGAGGGAAACUUAGAAAUUAGAUAACAUCUAUUAUAGACAGAUCAUAUAAAUGACUAUUUCACACUUAUUUAAUCCUUCAAAAGCACUAUCAGAGAAAAUAGUUGUUUCUUAUAAGCAGAUGUACUGUUUGAAGGCACUCAGAGCAAUAUUCAGAUGCUGCUGUAUGGAGUGUGUGUUAAGGAAAGCCCAAAGCAGUUGGGACAGUCUGCUGUAAGCUGGCAGGGUGAGGGCAGAGGCUGCAGACACAGUGCAUGGAUGGAUGUGUGCAUGGCUGGGGAUAGAUGCAUGGCCACACUGCCAAAGAGACCUGCCUAGCUCUUGGGCUGGGUGUAGAGGCAGACAACCCUGAUCUUCAGCACAAUGGGCAUGCAGCAAGACUAAACAGAAAAGAAGAUACUGGGAGAAAAGUGAUGGCUUGAGACUUUUUCUGAAAAAAAAAAAAAAUCAGAAGAACCCCAACUCUGCUACAACCAAAAAUCCAAUAAUCCAAAACACUUCAUCUGUGAAAAGAAUUCAAAUUCAGUUACUGACUGCACAACAAAUUACUGCAUCUCAGUCAGAGGCAGUGCGUGGAAGCUGAAACACUGAGAACACAGCUAGAACGUAUUCCAAACGCAGCCUUCACCCAGGACUCUCUGAAGCACAGUCGACAUCAGAGACAGCAGAGUAGGAAAUAUGUUCUCAGAUGGAAAGGUCUGCUACAUUCCUCCAAGAAUUGCCCUCUAGAGCCGGAGCCUCUUUGUCUAACAGGUACAGCUGAGGCAGGUCCCUGUGCUUUGAAACACUGCUGUUAGAGAAGAGUCAAGGAAUGGCCCUUGGUCCAAGACUGAAUGGUUGGUAUUGACAAACUCUGGAGUAGGCAGCAGGACUCUGCUUUCACGUAUACAUUUAUUUCACAGCCUGAAGCUGGAAAAGCUUUAAUUUAAAUCUUACAGAUAAAAUAGAAAAAAAAGCUAUUGAUCUUAAAAAUACCAUGCAUGCUAAAAAAAAAUAUUAGCAAUGAUUAAUAACCUUACAGAUAUAUUGUGAUAGUAUAGUAUAUGUAUUUUUCUUGUUAAAGUAUACAAUUUAGGUGUAAAACAUUUCAUUUAAUUCAUCUCCAACACUACUAACCUUUUCUUACUUAAAUCUGUAAUGCAAAUCUAUAAAAAUCACCAUCAGCUAUAACAGAUGAGUCCAUUGAAAGGCAGUGGCCCUAGGGAUGGCUCUGACCUCCUGAUCUUUCCAUCGCCACUGCUCACACAGCCAGGACUCCUUUGUCCAGAUCAAACCUUUCAGUAGCUGGCACUGAUGAUCAGAGCACUCUGAUCUCUCCCACAUCUCUCUGGACAUGGCUUUUAUGUUCUGCUGCGCCUUCAUGAGACUAAACAACAAUCAGCAUUUGACUCUAAAACUCUUCUCAUGGCCAUCUUACAGUUCAGACACGGUCCCCCCAGGAACCUGUAGCAUGGGGGUCAUAGAAAUCUCAUCCUGUUCCCCCUAGAUACAUUCACAUAUGUCCACAUCAGGUAGAAUACAUGUAGCAAAACCAAACUGGGCAUGCACAAUCACCUGUAGUUUCUUCAGGCAAGGCCACCUCAGAGAUGCAAGAAUAACAGCCUAGGAAAAGUUUUAGAGACCUUUUUCCUGCCAACAUACACAAACCUAGUUACUUUGUUCCAAGGGGCCAACUUCAUCAUGUACCAUACUGGUAGUUAAUUCGGCCUAAAUGCUUGCCAGUUUUUAAUACAGCUUCCCUAAAGUUGCUAUUAAUCUGGGGUGAAUAUAAAGUGCACUGCUUUCUCCCAGCUUGUUUCAUCCUCUGAUUACAUUCACAUAUUCUACGCAGCACAGCUGUGAACACUUCAGGAGCAGCCAUCCUGAAGAUGGAGAUUGACCAUCCAGUACAACCCACCCCAUCCCAACACUCUGAUUUUCUUUCUGUAGGGUUUCACCAUCGAUUGUAGCCUUCCCAAAUCUUAUCUAACACUAUCUCAUCUAGUCUGUGUUCCAAAAUUUGAUUUAUGCACCUGUAUUCAUUCAUUUUUCACUUGGCUUUGCUGUAAUCUGUCUAACAGCAGAGAUAGCAUUUGUACUUCUGACAGCUUUCAAAAGUUUACACAUCAUUUGAAAGCCAUGCAAUUGCAGAUAAAUAAAAAUAGUCUUCGUGUUUUAAUUGUUCGCAGUGCAACAGUCAGCGUUGGCAAUGGCAACAGUCAGUUACAGCUAAUGAUACCUUUUGAUAAAGGCAUCAAAUUGUUUUACCCCCAAACUAACCUGUACUACUUUGAGUAAUUUCUGCUGGCACCUCUGGCUUAUGUGCUGCUGUUGGUCAGUUUUUAUCCUAUCAAUGUGUACUGUUAUGGUAAUUGGAGGCUACAUUAGACUAUUUGUGUUUACCCUUAUUGCUAGUUAAUCCCCCCAGAACAGUGAAGCACCACUCACAGAUUUUCCAUGUUAGCUGUUAUUUUGCCACUUCUACACAUAAACUUGCUUGAAACCACCUCAAAUCACAGAUUUGUUGGCCAAGUUCCUAUUACCCUCAGCAGCUCUGUAUUAGGACCUACGUGGCUCAAUUAAUCAGGAAAAUUAAAGUCAAAAAGGAAAGUUGCAGCAGAGACCACAGUAGGACAGAGGAGGAGCUCCUGGCUGUGAGCUGUCUGCAGCUCCAGGAGCCCUGGCUUUUGGCACUUUGUGAAGAAUUGCAGCUGCUGAUGCUGUCAAUAGUCCAGAAAAAGUAGCAGCUGCAAGGGAAGGAAGGAGGACUGCUUGGGACUUCCUGACUGACCUCACACUUCUGUAGCCCAGAUCAUUUCUCCUUCUCUCCUGCCAUACUUCACCCAUAAAAACACUGAUUACUAUGAUUUCAUGCAGGUGGAGGAAAUUUCACUUUCACGGCUUCAGAGUUGUUUCAUUUUCAGAUCCUAAGGGUUUCCACAGCUUGGAGAGAUCACAGGAGUGAUUUUUUCAAGCGUGGGGCUUGGGGGCUCUCAGUGUUGGGACCUGCCUUUUUACUACUGCUGGAAAGGUCCAGAACUUGAGGGUUGAAAACUAUCAAGUGAACAUCAUACAACAAAAUACAAUUUUCACAGAAAAUGGUUUCUCUUUGUUAAAUUUCACAUCUACUCAUUGUAAAAGCAUCCCCAUAAAACAAAAAAAAAGUGUUCAUGUUAUUUUGUGUGAAAAGACAAAACACUUAUUAGAAAGCAUAACGCUUUUUGAUUCUUGUCUUACAGAAUAAGCUACGAAUCCUCAACAUAUAAAGUGACUAUAAAGUAAAAACUAAUUUCUCAUGUAGUUAUUCUGUUCCUGAGACCUUUCUGGCUAUCUAAUAUAUUUCCAAAGGAACAUGUUGUUUUGAUAACUGAAUACUCAAUUAGAUAUUCCUCUAGCAAACCAAUUCAGAACUUCCUAUCACGAUCUUCUGUACAGCUACGCAGAUAGGGCAUAUAAUUGGACAAAACUUUUCACAGCCACAAGAUUAAGUUUCUUCUUUAAUAAAUAAUUCUUUUUAUUAUUAAAACAUAUGUUAAAUGUAUAUUGUAGACAACUGUAUAGCCAUUUUGGAAGGCUUAUAGUAAGACCUUGUGAUGUUAUACUGAGAUGACAAUAGCAGGGUGGCAAAGUCUUUGGCUACAGCAAAUGAGAAUGAGCCCAAAUUCAGCAGCCACAGAUGCAGAGACAGAUAAAAAGAGCUACUUACUUCUAGAAGGCCUCAGAUAAGCAGGGAACCCUGGCAAGAUAUGCCCUCACCUCCACUGACAACCCUUAAAUGAGGUCUGGGAAGGGGUGGAUCCUGGCUGCACCCCUUCCAGUCACUCAGGUGCAU